rnacentral:rRNA from 1 species
UACGGAGGAUCCAAGCGUUAUCCGGAAUCAUUGGGUUUAAAGGGUCCGUAGGCGGUUUGGUAAGUCAGUGGUGAAAGCCCAUCGCUCAACGGUGGAACGGCCAUUGAUACUGCCAGACUUGAAUUAUUAGGAAGUAACUAGAAUAUGUAGUGUAGCGGUGAAAUGCUUAGAGAUUACAUGGAAUACCAAUUGCGAAGGCAGGUUACUAACUAAUGGAUUGACGCUGAUGGACGAAAGCGUGGGUAGCGAACAGG